UGAGGAAUAUUGGUCAAUGGGCGGAAGCCUGAACCAGCCAAGUCGCGUGAGGGAAUAAGGCCCUACGGGUCGUAAACCUCUUUUGUCAGGGAGCAAGGCGCGGUACGUGUACCGCGACGGAGAGUACCUGAAGAAAAAGCAUCGGCUAACUCCGUGCCAGCAGCCGCGGUAAUACGGAGGAUGCGAGCGUUAUCCGGAUUUAUUGGGUUUAAAGGGUGCGUAGGCGGGCUUUUAAGUCAGCGGUCAAAUUGAGGGGCUCAACCCCUUCCCGCCGUUGAAACUGGGAGUCUUGAGUGAGCGAGAAGUAAGCGGAAUGCGUGGUGUAGCGGUGAAAAUGCAUAGAUAUCACGCAGAAACCCCGAUUGCGAAGGCAGCUUACCGGCGCUCAACUGACGCUGAGGCACGAAAAGUGUGGGUAUCGAAACA
rnacentral:rRNA from 1 species